rnacentral:rRNA from 1 species
UACAGAGGUCUCAAGCGUUGUUCGGAAUCAUUGGGCGUAAAGGGUGCGUAGGCGGCGAGACAAGUCGAGUGUGAAAUUUCGAGGCUCAACCUCGAAACUGCAUACGAUACUGUCCUGCUCGAGUGCCAUAGAGGAGACUGGAAUUUACGGUGUAGCAGUGAAAUGCGUAGAUAUCGUAAGGAACACCAGUGGCGAAAGCGAGUCUCUGGAUGGCAACUGACGCUGAAGCACGAAGGCCAGGGGAGCAAACGGG